GGUGUGCAAGUCUUUGCCCAUUUUGCUUCAUUAAAAUAUUUCUUUAGAAGAAAAAGACAGUAAGUACAAUAUUAAAUAUUUAAACUGGUGAAAGAAAACCUCUCAAGGGAGACCACUUUAAAGGUUAUUAAAAAUGGGUCUUCAGACUUUCCAAAGCACUAUUUUCACCAACUAGCUCUGUUCAUACACAUAAAAAAUAUGAAAUAUAUGUUGGCACAUAAAUUCGUGUCCAUGAACAUUGUAAACAGCCAGUAAUUGCCAGGUUUGAAUUCUGGAAUUGCUGUCAGGCAAGGCCUUUGAAGCCUUGUCCCCUUGGGCAGUGCUAGAGAGAGACACCAGUCUACACUGUUGAAUGUUGUUGACGGAGUUGUCCUCUGCAACUAUUCAGAGGCAGUUAAGAGGAAAUCUUACCAGGUAGGAGGUUGCACUAUUCAGGCUCUAGAUUUAGUGAAAAUUGGUCUAUUUUAUGUGAGAAAGCUGAGAAGAUUUACAGGCAAGUUCAAUUACCAUCAAAGUAUCUGGUACUUUCUUGGUGUUAAGAAUUUGACAUCCCAAUUUGCACUAGAUUGGAAGAAAACAGAUGUUUGCAUCCCUGGAAUCACCUCUCCCUUUCCAAUAAACCUCUGUCCACAAAAGGCAACAAGUGGACAAACUAUAUAUAUAUAUAUAUUUUAUUUUUUUUUCCUAGAAGUUCUUGCCCAUCCUCUGCUUCAAGCUGAACAUUGGAACAUUGGGGUCACUCUGCACAGCCCCAGGGAAGGGUUAGCAGGUUGGUGAGCACCAUGGUAAUGGAGAGUUCAUGCCCAUCUCAGCCUGCAGUUGGUCAGGAUUCAUCUGUAGCGCUGGCUGGAGAAGCUCCAGGUGAAUAUAUUUCAUUGGAGCAUUUCAGUGAAAGCCAAGAUGCCAUGUGGUGACAGUUCUAUUUUGAGGAAGGUGUGCUGGAAAACAAGCAGGCUUUCAUUGUACCUGUCUGAUCUCCUGCCAGCUCAUCUGCCCAGCAGAUGGCCUGAUAACAGAGGAAUGCUGACGUGCAAAGUCAGGGCUUAUCAGCUGCCUGGAGGCCAGAGGAUUUCUUGAGCAUAUUACCCUCAGACAGACCACAAAGACUGUUUCUCCUUGAGAGUUGACAUCUGUGGGGCUGCCCCAUCAUUGGAGUGUCCUGGAAACCCCAGGUCUCCACCUGCAAAUGAAUGUGUUUUGGUGGCACUUUCAUGUUUUCUGCCACCUCGAGGCUUUGCCUUGCAGAUGGUUCUGCAAUGUUGUUUCAACAUGGAGCAAAAACAUUUCUGAAGUGCUGAAAUUCUCCCUGAAUGAACUGAUUACAUUCCUUCACAUAGAUCUAGGAGUAAGCAAAUCAAAAAUUUGUUAACAGUGUUUAGAUGGAAAUAAGCAGUGAGAAUGCAAAAUGAGUUCCAGGUAGAGGUCCAUGUCAAAUAUACUGAAAAAAAAAGUUGAAGGUUUUAAUUUCUGGGUAGUGAACAGAAACUGUAAUGCAACUGUGAAAUCCUAAGUCAAAGGCAUUGUAUUUUGUGGGUAAAUAUCCUGCCUUGGAAGAAGGAACACUGAAGUAGGAGCUGACCUGAACUGUGUUUUGGGGCUCUGAGUCUUGUACCUGGCUUUGCCACACAUGGCUGGUAUUACACUGGACAAGUGAAUUAAAUCAAGGCUGGCCUGACCAGAAGUAAAUGCCAGUGCUAUUGGUCAUCUGUGGCUCCUGCUUUCAGUCUGUGGUAAUGAACAGACUCUAUCAGGAUGAGAUUAAUCUGACCUAUUUCAGAAGCCUACUUUUAGAUGAGGUGACGCGAAUCUGGAAAUACCCAUUUCUUUCCAUUAAUUACAAAGUAACUCUAGUCAAGGAGCUCAGACAUAGAUAACCACAUCUUGUCAUAUAACUCCCCCUCUUCCUGACUCAGUACUCCGUGUAGGAGAUGAGGUAAUAGUAUUUCCUUUCUUGUCUGCUCAGAUUGUGUGGAGGCCCACAAAAGAGAGCCACUAAACGUUUCAAAAGUGUUUAUCACAUCUGUUUCAUGUCUGUGAUGUGUCACAUUCUAAAAAAGGGCUUCAUAGGAUCAGGAAUUUGGGAGCACUGACGGAAAUUUUAAAAAUAUAUUCUGGAAAAGAAUUUCAAAAAGCAUCUUUUUUUUUUUUCUUUUCUUUUUUUUUCUAUCUAAGGAACAUCAAAGUUGGUCAGCUCUGCUAAGGAUAUUGUUGUGAAAGGUCUGUAGAACAGGAUAGAAGGCGGCAGGAUGGGGUAGUGGCUGCCUAUGAGCCCAGACAGGGUCAGGUUUGUGCACUCACUCCUGUGGAAACACCUCCCCAACAGCAUAAGGCUUCUGUGGACCUUUGUGAAGGGAUGGCCUGUUUGGAUCAAGGAGAAAAAGCAGCCACAUCCCUGUUUUCAUUUCGGAUCUUUGAAUGGAGCCUGUCAGUACAGAGAUGAAGGCAGCUAGCUGGGCAGGAGGCGAAGCUCUGGGGACACCUCUUCCCAACAGAGGGCUCACACCCAGGCAGCAGCAAUCUGGGGACACAGAGCUCUGGGUUAGUCAGCAGAGCUAACUUUAAAUAAAAUGAAAUUUGCAAUUAAAUUGGCAUAGAUGCCAAUGGGUCCUCUACCACUGCUUUCCUACUGAGUGGAGUUGGGCUGGGUAGGCAACUUGAUCUUAGAGUUACUAGGCUUUGGCAGCCCCUGUUGAUUCAUGGCUGGUGGCUCUGCUGCUGGUAAUGGAUCGUGUUAGAUCUGCAUGCUGUCCAGGUUGGACGUGCUGCAAGAGAGGCACUGAAAGCUUGGCCUAGGAGCAAUAGCUCUGAGAUGACUGUUGUGUCAUUAAAUCUGUCCCCAGAUUUAUUUAUUUUUUACAUUUGUAGUUGUUGGGAAAUGAAGUCCAAGCAUUUAACAAGUGUUUUCUAGAUUAAUGAAUGAUAGUUAAUGAAGCAAUAAUUGGAUUUCUAUGUUAAUCAAGUUUUGAUUAUGUGUUACAUGCUCAGGGUCACAUUUUCAAAAGAUUAAUGCCAAAACUAUCUUCCUUGUCUGCAUUUUUUGUUUUUGUUUUGUGGCUAGCCUGACAUUUGCUUCCUUGAUUAGAGGGAUCAAAUCAGAUUACAAAUUCUACAUCCGGAUAUGUUGUGACGAGAACCAAACUAUGGACUUGAAAUUCAUUUUUAUCUGGGAAACAGAUUAUAUUGCUACUGCUCAGAGCUAGAGCCCAAUCCACAAAUUCCAAAUCUUUGGUGCUUUUUAUUCAGCAGCUUCAUUUGGAAUGUAGUUAAUAUCUCAGCAAUUUUUAUCCAGGUUAUACAACAGGCAUUUUCCUAUAAAUUCAGGUGUAUACAUACUUCGUUUAGCUCACCUAUUUUUUCUGCAGAUUUUCACUGAGGUCUGUCAGGCAGUUUUUUCACUAAAGAAAACCCACCAAAUUUUUUUAUUACUUCCACCGUAGUUUGUUAAAUACUUGAAACUUCAGAGUAUGGACAGUUUACAUGUCAGAUUGCAUGCAGAUCUUUCCUUCAUAUGUAUAUAGAUUUACAUAUAUAUAGAUGUCUCUUGGAUUUUUUUUUGCAAGUAUUAAACCGUUUGAAUUUUCCUUCCAGUACUCAUUUUCGAAAUAAAUAAUCUGAAGCUGGGUUUGGAUUGUGAGAGGGAAGGCCUGCACAUAUGUUUCAGAAAAAAAUGUGUGGGUGAUCCAAAUCUGGAGCUCAGAUACUUUCCACAUGACUGAUGGACACAUAAAACAAGUAUCAGAGUCCUUUUCUUAGGUUCCAGCCAGAAUUUAAACCAGAGAAAAGGGAUGGUUUAUCAGAAACUUAAAAGAGAAUACUUUCAAGGAGGUGGGGAAGCAGUUGAAGUCCUAAGUGCUGUGGGACAGAUCCUUAACAUAAGAGUUCACUUACAGUAGCUGGGGAGCUGAUAAAGGUACCUAAAAACAGAAGAAUUGCUGGGUUUUGGAAGGUAAUCUUUCUUAUGAUGUGAGAACAUGCCUGUUGCAUAAUUCACACAACUAAAAAUUCAGACCUGGCAAGCGAUAUUAUAUGGUAAAUGUGUCUAAACUAUGCUGGGCUUUCUAGUAAGAGGCAGAAAAGAGGAAUCUUUCUUAAAAAUAAAACUGAAUUACAUUUUGGUUAUAUUGACCUAACAGUCUCACUGCAGAAGGGAUGGCUUCUAUAUCAGUUAUAUGAAGCCUACAGACACAUCUAUCCAAGAGCAUUCAAUAUUAACUGUAAUAUGAAAUGAUUAAGGUAUGAAAACUCAGUUACAUGUUGACAUGCAAAAAACCCUUGGAGGGACAGCUGUCAGCACUGAGUGGUCUUAAGUGAAUGCCAUUGUUGUCAGUGGAACGUGGUAAGAUUUUUGAUAUGUGCUCAUAAUAAAGACAUACAAAUAGUCUUUUAUUUAAGGGUACUAUCCAUAACCUAAGGCUGUGAAUGGGUUGAACAGAAACACCAUGAAUAAAAUUACAGAUUAUAGAAAUAGACACUAAAGGUGUUUUGAUUAUUUUAAAUGAAGUUUCUUCAACAAGCAAUUGUGAUUCCCCCAGUGUGAUGAAAACUCUAAAGGGCAAAAGAAAAUGAAUGGUGAGAACCCAGACAUGCAUUCAGGGAGCAGGCUAUUGUGAAGAGCGCUGAGAAAUCCAGGUUUCAGCCCAGCUCAUGACAGGGAAAGAAUUUGAACUUACAGAUCAGGACAGGGACCAUCCACCACGUGCAGCUGUGCUGGCUAGCCCAGCAUUGUGCUUCACUGCAUGGAGACUGAGGAGCUGAGCCAGCUCUAGGAGGACUGAUUCUUCUGUUAAUUUGAUUUGGACCUGGAGUUUAAAAACACAUUUCCAUUUCCUAUUAACAAGAUGACCACUUUGAUUGUGAGACACUUGCGAGGGUAAAUACCUGCGUGUAGUCUUGCUGGCUGAAUGUGAAAAAUGAAUGCCGUGCACAGUGGAAGGUGGGAGUCUUUUGCCCAAAUUCAAAGGUGACUGCAGUGGAUGACGGAGUGCCACAGUGGAUGUAACAGAAAUGAUUACAAUCUCUGCCUUUUUGCAGGCUGCCUCCUAGUGCCUCUCAGGCUCUUCUGAAAACUUGUGAGGACUGACUGAUUUCAGCUCAGUCACGUGUACUCAGAGUCAGUGGCUUUUACAUGCAAACUGUUAUGUUUGGUAAGUGAUCCUACUGGAGUCUGAAUAAAGCCUGUCCCUGUUCAUUUUGUUUCUCCAUUGCUAGAAAAUGAAAGGAUGAACAGGUGUGAAAAAUAAAAGGUUGCAAGAGACAAAAAAAAAAACAUGCAAUUUGAGGAGGAAUACAUGUUUUCUGACUCAUUCUCUGUUCACUCAGUAUUAUACACAUUGUCCACAUGUUGUCUCAUGCUCUUGACUACCUCUGAAAUGAGGUCAGCUAGUGAAGCUGGGAGUGAAGGGAGUUACAUUCUGGCAUGGCAAAGUUCAGCUAGCACUUAUCCAAGAGAGAAGAGACAUUGACUCUCUGACCAUUUUCAAGGAUGAAGGGAUCUUCAUACUGCUUGCUGCCCAAACGCUGCUCUUGACAUGACUAUGGAAGAAUAUUCAUCUCGGACUGUUGGUCCUCCUGGAUUGUACUGUUUGUUUGUAAUAGGACAUGUAAUGAGAACAGAGCUUCCCUUAUCCCUCACUGAAGUGAUUGAGACAGACUCCAGUGUCAAACCACUUCAGCCUAACAAUUUUGGAUCCACGUCCCACUGAAUUGAUAAGAAAAGCUACCCUUGGGUCUGGGUCUGCAGAUUCUGCUUUUACAGAUUCUCAUUUGCACUGAGGAAGUGUGGAACAGGCACUCAGCAAUAAUUUCUCCAAACAUCAGUUACCAGCUAUGCACAAAGCUCGGGCCGAGCAGGAUCCCUCCGGCUAUGUGCGUGGGCGGCCGAUCUGGUUUUCUCCCAAGGUGACAGCUGCUUGCUUUGCAUUAAGGGCUGUGACUGCCCCCACCUGAUAUGUUUCCAGACACUUGGCAAUCUCCUGAGCUUCUAAAUUGAAGUGGUCAUGUUCUCCAUUGCCCUGAUUGUUCGUUGGGAAUCAAUGGAAGAUUUUGCCUGAUAUCCAUUUGCAUUAGUCUCCUCCUCUAUCUUUACUGCUUCUGGACUACACCAACAGCUCCACCUCCAACUGACUGUCUCCUGCAUUUGACACCAGUUCACUAAACUCAUCUGUGCUGUUCCUAUUGUUUUACUCACACAACAAAUACUUUGUGUAUAUGGUUUUGUUUCUCUCUGAGCAUAACAUCUAAAUCAUAGAAAUCAUUUUAUCCCUGAAGAAAAUGAUCAUCAAACAAUGUUACAGCACCAUAAAAGGAGUUCUAACUCAAUUAUGUUUUAUAACUAAAUAACAGAAGAAAGGUGUGAUACCUGAAAGACAGAAGAAAUCCCUACCUGCUCUCCAGCCUCAAAGUUCUUUGAGAUUUUCUGUCUAGCCUAGGAAUAUAUCAUUUUCUUGAGCACCUCUUCUCCUGUUUUGUUUGUUUGUUUUUGUUUUGUUUUCUUUGUUUUGUUUCUUUUUUCCCCUGCUCGUUUUUACUUUCCUCUUUGACAGUAGGAUUCAAAGAAAUGCUUGUCUUGUAAUUUAUCCUACCUGGAUGUGAUGUUUUCCCAGUCCAUUUUAAAGCCUAGCUGAGAGAUUUGAUUUUUAAUAGUUAUCAUACACAAUUAAGUAGUUGUUAGCAUUUUAUUGGACGUGCUGCCCAAGUGACUGGGUGAUGGAAUAGCAAGCAAUUUGUUUAAUGCAUCAUCUUAUCUUGAGACUACAGAGAUAAGUAGGUGUAAAACACAACAGUCAAAACAGAAAACAAAGGGAAAUAUUUGCCAUGAUCUGAACAUAUACAAAUAAAUGUUAGUGUAAUGUAUGAUGGUUUCACAUUGAUUUUUAUUGUUGAACACAUGUAUAAUGAAAUUACACUUAACAUAGUCUUUGACUUCCUCUAUUUUUCUUUCAUAUUAUUUAAAUAUUAAGCUACCCAAUUUAUUGUUAAAAAUUUGGAGUAACAAUUUAAAGUUCAAAGUCUUUACAUAUAUCUUCUCUGUAAUAUUAGUUAACUAUCUGGGGAUUUUACACUGUAAUGUGAAAAUGAUUUUUUUUGAGUUCUUUGUGGAGUAAUAAUUAUUUAGAAAUUAUAUCUCUCUGCUGUUUCUAUGGAAACAUUUUCACCUUAUGCUAAUGAAAUACAAAUGAUGGGGAAAAUGAGUCUUUUUGCACAGAGUGUUAGAAUAUAUAUAUAUUUCAGAUUGGAAAUGUUUAAUGUAGAUACAGUAUGGCUGUCAGUAUAGCUUCAGAAAUGGGUUAAGUUCAUCCUAUUCAAUGUUGAAUUCCAAAAGCUAGAGUACUUGUCAUUAGGGUAAAACCAUCUUGCUGUGUACUGGCAGUGAUGUGUCAAAAUCCUUUAUUUUAAUUUGAGUCUGGGCUCAGCAAGAAUUCUAUGUGUUUCCUGUUUCAUAUUUUUUUUCUUUUUGUUGUUUUUGAUUGUUUCCCCUUGGCCUAUCUGACACGAUGUAAAGUUAGCAUUUACCUACUGUGAUAAUUUUAUUCUUUCCAGACCUGGGGAGUAGGAGGUGAAAGUUGGUAUCACUAGUAUGGCAAUCAAGAUGUUGGUUUUAUUCCUAGUUCUACCAUGGAUGUGAAGCUCUAAUCAAUUUCCUUGCAGAUAACAAACUUCUGGAUUCUGUGACAAUUGCACCAGCUCUUCCAGUGCCUCCAGGUCCUCAUUGGGAUAGACCCACUGAAGAGUGGAGGGUGGCUCUAAAAUGGGGUGCGUGGCAAGCAGUCAGGUGAAGAGCUGAACAAGCUACAUCUGAGUGGUCUUCAUUCAUUGCAGUGAAUAAAGCCCAUGUUGUCUUCAUGUAUGCUUCAGAGCAGAAGCUAUUGUAAGGCAAGAAAAGAAAAAAAUUGUCUUUUUUUUUUUUCAGACCUCUUGGUCAACAGUUUCACUGGAGUUGCAUUAUUUCCACAAGAAAUUUUAUAUAUUUUUUCAUGCUUUGUCACCUUAAGUUUUCAUUCCAAAGUCUUCCUAAAUUCACUUGAAAUUGCAGAAGAUGCAUAUUGCUGGGUAAAGGCCAUACAUUGGUAUUGUAAAAAGCACAAGUAGGAUCCUAUGUGCAUUUGCAAUAAUAUAAAGGGCUAAUCAGUGUAGAGAUUUUUUUUUUUCCAACUAUAGACAAAACACAUAUACAUUAACUAUUAUGAACUUGUUUUUAAAACAUAAAUAUCUAAAUGCUUCUUUGCAUGUCAUAUUACAAAUUAUGUGCAAAAACAUAAAUGGAUAGGCAGGCAUGUGCUCUUCUCUUUUAAUUACUUUAAAGUAUUUAGCAGGUCAAACUAAUUUUACUACAUUAUAUUUUUCAGGUACAGUAUUUCAAUGCAUAAACUAUCAACAGAAAAACAUAAAGAUAUGUAUAGUAAGCUUUACUGUAACUAGUUCUACAACAAUGCACACAGUGAGCACUGUGCACGUAGCUGCGAGCAGUAUGUGUGCUUGCAAAAUACAUCUUCACAUGUUAGUUACCUGUAAGAUUAAUUUUGAAGAAUUAUUUUCUCAUUCUUUUUGUCCUCAGGUAACUUUGAAAUCACUCAACAACACUUAUACACCCUUUUUCUUUAAAAGCAAGCCAGGUAACAGUAGUAUCCAACUCAUUCAGCUGACUCAUUAGGAAGUUUGUAGCUCUGAACUGUGGAAUGUUUAACAUGUAGAACAGUAGCUUCUAGAAGAGUAACGAUGAGAUGGGCACAUAUGAAACUUAAGCAUCUGGUGGGAAUAUAUUCUUCUCUCAGGCAUGUAAGGAAUGUUAGAACUACUACAUAAAUAGUUCCAUAUGCAGGAAAUACUGCUUCUUGAGUGGCUUCUGUACGGAAAUAAACCAUAACUAGAGUAAGAAUUUACUCAGACUCUUUUAGCAUAAAUAUUGCUUAUGUGAGUGAUGGUAACAGACUCAGCCCUUUGUGGCUACGUAGGUGAGAGGCAGAUAUAACCUUCUCCAAACACAUUGUAUUAAGUCUGAUAAAGUUAUGCAGAGUCCUGAGUGGCUGGGGAAGCAGUGAGAAAACAGAAGUGGACAUGUGUCUCAGCAGCUUGUACAAUGGUUAUUUGUGUCAGCAUCAGGUUCAGCAGUGUCACAAAAAUAAUUAUGCAUUUCACUCAGAAGAUGGAAACAGCAAUAUAUUUAUUCAUGAAAAUAAAGAUUGAGCAGGGCCAGUCUUAGUGAAUGAGAAAGUGAUUUAAUAAAGUUCUACUGGUAAAUGUGACAUUAACAAGAAUAUUGAUACAAGAUCACUUGAUUAUUUACUGCUUAGGUCAGACUAAAAGUGCCGGGGAGACCCUCGUUUCAUAAUGUUCAGAAUGGAGUCCUUUUUGCUGUCCAAACUCAGAGGAGUCUAGAUGUGACUGGACCCUAUUCCAAUCCCAGAUUUAACAGUCUAUGCCUAAAGGAUUAUAUGCAUAAACAGUCCUCUACAUCACUUAGCUAAGAUUACAAAGUUUCAGCAUACUUAACAAAUCACUUGCAAAGUUUCAACAAGCUAGCUAUUAGUCACUUACUGAGUUUCUGUCACAGGUAAGGAAUCUCUCAGCCUCAGUGAGUAACCUUGAGAAGAGGCCAACAACUUUCAGCUUUCAGCCCAGGGCUGAAGAUUGCUUCCUUGUGCCAACUUUGAUCUAUAAACUGGUCUCCUUCCUUCAUUUCUGCUGCCCUGAGUACCACCACACCUGUCUCUGCUUGCAUGAUUGUGUUUACCAGAGUAGAACAAACUCCUGACGGGAAUUGACUCCACAGACUGGACUAGAUUUGUUUGUAUGUCAAGGGAUGGGGACAAGGGUUGGCAGGGAAUACCUUGGCAGAUGGGAGUGCCAGUGUGAUUGUAGCCAGAAUGUGCCUCACUUUUAACUUGGAUAUAUUAAACAACUAUAGUUCAUUGAAUACAUGUAUGAUAUUCAGCUUUGACGUUUGGCUUUCUUCCAUUAUUUUAAUUGUUUGAAUUGUUGAAUUUUUAUUAUUUGGCUGGCUAAUUACAGACUUGCCAACCUGUGGCCAAGCAAAAGUAUUAUAAACUUCUCUUGGCCUGAGGAAGGGUAGUAUGCAGCGAAUGCAUGGGUUGCACUAAUGUGGUUGUAAAAAUCUGAUAUGGCAAAAUAUUGGAUAUGGCUGGCUGCCUUGAUAUGUAGCUUCCUGCAAAAGCAGGACAGGACAAGGGUUAAAAGGAAGACUCUUCAUUAAUUAUAUCUAAUUCGCAUGACAGCUUUGCUCAAUCAUUCAGUUUCAAUCAUUUAUACUGCAGGUUGAGUUUUAAUAAAGCUAGGCUUCCUCAUCAGAAGUGUUUCGUGUUCAAAGAUUGAAAGGAAAAAAUUUUGAAUUAAUUUCUAUAGACUUGGUUCCAAGGAAUAUGGAGGUGUAUAUAAUUCUGUACAAAAGCUGAAGCAGGAAGAUUUUGUUCUGUUGCUUUACAUCAGAAGGAGCCAAAAUUUCAGAAGUUUAUAUCUGUAAUGUUUGGCACAAAUAAAAUUUCUUGAAAUUAGAGGCUACUUGCAACCUAAAUUAUUCUAUAAAGGUCACUUGAUCCAACCUCCUCCCUUAAAUCAUGGGAUCUUAUGUACAACUUAUGGUCAAAAAUGUGUUCUGGAAAUAUAUGUAAUAUACAUUUGGAGUAUGUAUAUAUGACUUAGUUUUGAACCUGUGAUCUUACCUACACUUGGUACAAAUGUCCUUUUUUAUGCAUCUUCUCUCAGCAUACCUUUUAUCAGGAUAUGUACAUGUGCCUUAUGCAGUGUAUGUAUGUAUAAAUUUGUACUGGUUGGUGAACCUGAAGGAUUUACUAAUGAGCAAUACCUUGGAUAGAGAAGAGAGGUGACAACCAAUUGCUCAUUUGGGUUUCAAGUCAAAUAGGCCAGCUUAGGAUGUCUUCAGAGGUCCAGGAUUUUAGUUGAAGAUUCUUAAAGUGGAAAAGUUUGGUAUUGGAGGAAACUUGGUAGGGGUGAUCUGUUGGUCUGGCCCCAGAAAAUAUGAAAGAAAAAUGAGGAGACAACAUAACUUCUGUUGACCAAAGGUGUGCAGAGGAUUAUGUGAGGCAAUUUGGAAAAGAGGAGGUGGUACAAAUCUAAGUAAGAAAGACAAGCAUGUGUGCAUGGAGAGAGGGCGCAGUCAAUUACAAAUGAUUCAAGGGUGGAGUUUUAAGCUGUUGUGCUUUUUGGUGUUUAUGUGCACUGGUCCCUAAUGCUGAUGCUUAAGAGAUCUCUGUUCCAAAGCUGAAAUGUUAUAGGGAAGAAUACAAGGGGCUUGUCAUUCAGAGAUGAGGACAGAGGGAAGUACUAGUAGGGUGCGAUUAGACAUCAGAGAUCCAUGCUGGUACAUCCUCCCAGUCUCAGUAUGAUUUGUGCCAUAAUAUGUUUUCAGGGGAAGUAAACAUUCACUUAAAACUUUUCUGCUCAUCAGUGCACACCCUUGUAUAUGUGACAUUUGGGGGGUUAUAUAAUUCCCUUAGAGCUCCAGCUACUCACCUGUCCAGAUGAGGAAUUAAUGUGACACAAACACAACAGAGAAUUGUGCAGGAAGAUAAAUUAAUAUCCCUCAACCACUAAUUUAUUUAGUGAUGACACACUGUUUCUAGUCAUGUACUGAGCCUAAACUGAUUUAUUCUACCUGUUUUUUCUUAUAUCUAACAUUUCAUGAGAAAGACCACACUUUAUUGUCAGCAUUGUAAUACAAGAAUUAAUAAAUAUGCAAAGCUAUUAUUGCUCAUAGACAUGAGUAAUAAGCAUCUUAUAUAUCACACUGUGAUGGCUGUUCUUCUUUAUCUGUCUUUGGCUGCCAUACUACCGAGAUUAUUUUCUGUUCUCCCUUUGUAAUUUUUUAUUUUGCCUUGUUUUAGAAGCUCUCCUCUGUAACAACUGUUGCGCCUCUCUUGAUCUUAAAUACAAGUUACAGUGCAUUAAAUCUGCUCAUUAUUCUUAAAAUGUUUUGCAUAGAUGUUUGAUAAUAUUGUAAUAAUAAAAAGUAUACCUCA